rnacentral:pre_miRNA from 1 species
AAACUACUCCCUCCGUCCGGAAAUACUUGUUAUCAAAAUGGAUAAAAGGGGAUGUAUCUAGACGUAUUUUAGUUCUAGAUACAUCUCUUUUUAUCCAUUUUGAUGACAAGUAUUUUCGGAAGGAGGGAGUACAAA